AACGAGCGCUGGCGGCAUGCCUAACACAUGCAAGUCGAACGAUCCCUUCGGGGAUAGUGGCGCACGGGUGCGUAACGCGUGGGAACCUGCCCUUAGGUUCGGAAUAACUCAGAGAAAUUUGAGCUAAUACCGGAUAAUGUCUUCGGACCAAAGAUUUAUCGCCUUUGGAUGGGCCCGCGUUGGAUUAGCUAGUUGGUGGGGUAAAGGCCUACCAAGGCGACGAUCCAUAGCUGGUCUGAGAGGAUGAUCAGCCACACUGGGACUGAGACACGGCCCAGACUCCUACGGGAGGCAGCAGUGGGGAAUAUUGGACAAUGGGCGAAAGCCUGAUCCAGCAAUGCCGCGUGAGUGAUGAAGGCCUUAGGGUUGUAAAGCUCUUUUACCCGGGAUGAUAAUGACAGUACCGGGAGAAUAAGCCCCGGCUAACUCCGUG
rnacentral:rRNA from 1 species